rnacentral:rRNA from 1 species
GAUGAACGCUGGCGGCGUGCUUAACACAUGCAAGUCGAACGAAGCACUUUAUUUGAUUUUUUCGGAAUGAAGAUUUUGUGACUGAGUGGCGGACGGGUGAGUAACGCGUGGGUAACCUGCCUCAUACAGGGGGAUAACAGUUGGAAACGACUGCUAAUACCGCAUAAGCGCACAGGGUCGCAUGACCUGGUGUGAAAAACUCCGGUGGUAUGAGAUGGACCCGCGUCUGAUUAGCCAGUUGGUGGGGUAACGGCCUACCAAAGCGACGAUCAGUAGCCGACCUGAGAGGGUGACCGGCCACAUUGGGACUGAGACACGGCCCAAACUCCUACGGGAGGCAGCAGUGGGGAAUAUUGCACAAUGGGGGAAACCCUGAUGCAGCGACGCCGCGUGAGCGAAGAAGUAUUUCGGUAUGUAAAGCUCUAUCAGCAGGGAAGAAGAAAUGACGG